rnacentral:rRNA from 1 species
UACGGAGGAGGCUAGCGUUAUUCGGAAUUACUGGGCGUAAAGCGCACGUAGGCGGACUGAAAAGUCAGAGGUGAAAUCCCAGGGCUCAACCUUGGAACUGCCUUUGAAACUCCUGGUCUUGAGGUCGAGAGAGGUGAGUGGAAUUCCGAGUGUAGAGGUGAAAUUCGUAGAUAUUCGGAGGAACACCAGUGGCGAAGGCGGCUCACUGGCCCGAUACUGACGCUGAGGAACGAAAGCGUGGGGAUCAAACAGG